UACGUAGGGUGCGAGCGUUAAUCGGAAUUACUGGGCGUAAAGUGUGCGCAGGCGGCCGCGCAAGUCGAGUGUGAAAGCCCCGAGCUUAACUUGGGAAUUGCGCUCGAAACUACGUGGCUGGAGUGUGGCAGAGGAAGGUGGAAUUCCACGUGUAGCGGUGAAAUGCGUAGAGAUGUGGAGGAACACCGAUGGCGAAGGCAGCCUUCUGGGCCAACACUGACGCUCAUGCACGAAAGCGCGGGGAGCAAACAGG
rnacentral:rRNA from 1 species